AAGUAAUGAAUGUACGUGUUUAUAUUCAUUGUUCCCUUUACCUGGUGUGUGUGUGUGUGUGUGUUCACACAGGGUGAUGUGACGCGCCUCGGGUGGUAGCAGAUGUAAGUGUCAAGACGCUUGCCUGGCUUGCCCUUCUCGCUUUCAGCUGCCGCCGCCGCCGCUGGCUCGCCUCGUGCGAAGAGAGGCGGCCUCCGGGUCGUCUCUCCCGCCAGCACACAGCCUCUCCAUCACCAAGACCCCUACAGUGCCUCCUUGUGGCCACACACGGUAACUGGGUGCCCUGCGGCCCCAGGCCAAACUGUAGGGGAUCUCGGAGCAGCAGGGGGCCCCAGAGGUGAAGAGCAAGGGCCCACCGGCGUGUGGACACACCCUGACUCACACCAACCCCUGCCCCUCAACACUGGGUUACCAAUGACUGGGCAAAGGUUGCACAGAACGAACGAACCAAAUAUAGCUUAACAGUAUCCUGCAAGUGUUCCUUGUGGGCGGGGGUCUGUAUCUCUCCCUGCCGCCACUGUUUGCUGGGAAUGGCCCAGAGAGAGGGAGCAAGAUGCACGAACCGCCUCCCACUCUAACAACGCUGUUCGUGGCGCGGAACUGCGUCACCAGAGGCCAUGGGCCACCACAGGUGUCUGCGGCGAAGACGGAGAAGCUGAGAGGCGGAACCCAGAGACGAGCAUCAACCCACCCCACGCUGCCCGCCACCCCAGGAAUCUCCACGGCUGCCAUAACCUGAGUGCCUGCCCUGCCCUGGCCUCCACCUCGCCUCGUGCCCGCCCGCCUGUCCAUUCCCCUCAAGGCGCCGCGCUGCUCCUGGGUCUUCGUCGCCCAUUGAUAGAUUCUAUGCUCACCACCACCGCCACCACCACCACCGCCGCCGCCGCCACCACCGCCAUGUUGCUGGGGGGUCCGCCGUCAGAAGUUGGUAUGCGCGCUGGCCGUCACUACGUCAUGUCGAUGCCGUUGUAAUGCGUCAGAUUGCUUGUCCCCCGACCCGAGGAGAGAUUUAUUAAUGUUUUCGCCUCGAUAAUGUCGCCGCCGCCUCAGCCCGACCAUCCGCCGCGCCGCCGCCCUCCGCCAGCCCUCGUAAAGCACAAUGUUGCUGGAGAGGCCAGGAGCGUCAGAUGCAGGCGUCUUCCUUAGUGCUCCACUCUUGAAGGCGCUGAAGUCACAGGCAAGAAGAUACCCAGGCACCUGAUUCAACAGUGUCAGAUGCAGUCCUCU